rnacentral:rRNA from 1 species
GUUGUGGGGUCGCAGAGAAUAGGGAGAAGCGACUGUUUAUCAAAAACACAGGUGCGUGCGAAGCCGUAAGGCGAUGUAUACGCACUGACGCCUGCCCGGUGCUGGAAGGUUAAGAGGAACUGUUAACACUCCUUUGUGGGUGUGAAGCGGUGAAUUUAAGCCCCAGUAAACGGCGGUGGUAACUAUAACCAUCCUAAGGUAGCGAAAUUCCUUGUCGGGUAAGUUCCGACCUGCACGAAUGGCGUAACGACUUCUCCGCUGUCUCGACCGUGAACUCGGCGAAAUUGCAGUACGAGUAAAGAUGCUCGUUUCGCGCAGAAGGACGGAAAGACCCCGGGACCUUUACUAUAGCUUGGUAUUGGUGUUCGCUUGUGCUUGUGUAGGAUUGGUGGGAGAGUGUGAAGCCGCGGCGCCAGCCGUGGUGGAGUCGUCGUUGAAAUACCAUUCUGGUUCAAGCGGUCACCUCAACCUUGGCCCGUGAUCCGGGUUGGGGACAGUGCCUGGUGGGUAGUUUAACUGGGGCGGUUGCCUCCUAAAAUGUAACGGAGGCGCUCAAAGGUUCCCUCAGCCUGGUUGGUAAUCAGGUGGCGAGUGCAAGUGUACAAGGGAGCUUGACUGUGAGACCGACGGGUCGAGCAGGUGCGAAAGCAGGAACUAGUGAUCCGGCCAUGGCACGUGGGUGCGUGGUCGCUCAACGGAUAAAAGGUACCCCGGGGAUAACAGGCUGAUCUUGCCCAAGAGUCCAUAUCGACGGCAUGGUUUGGCACCUCGAUGUCGGCUCGUCGCAUCCUGGGGCUGGAGUUGGUCCCAAGGGUUGGGCUGUUCGCCCAUUAAAGCGGUACGCGAGCUGGGUUCAGAACGUCGUGAGACAGUUCGGUCCCUAUCCUCUGUGCGCGUAGGAAACUUGAAAAGGGCCGUCCCUAGUACGAGAGGACCGGGAUGGACGAACCUCUGGUGUGCCAGUUGUACCGCCAGGUGCAUGGCUGGUUAGCUACGUUCGGAAGGGAUAACCGCUGAAAGCAUCUAAGCGGGAAGCCUGCUUCAAGAUGAGGUUUCCACGCCCCCACGUGGGGUGAGAGGCCCCCGCCAGACGAGCGGGUUGAUAGGCCAGAGGUGGAAGCACCGCGAGGUGCUCGCGAGCCGACUGGUACUAAUGGGCCAACACUAAACAAC